UUUAUCCAAGUUUUAACCUGGUUUUAUCCAGAUUUUUCUCCUGCUUUUAUCCCGAUUUUAACCCCUUUUUAACCCAUUUUUAACCUGUUUUAUUCUGGUUUUUGCAUUCCCAGCAUUCCCAGUGUGCCCCCCCCCACAGCCCUGCCCUCCCUGGGGUCUCCCCCCCCCAGGACCCCCAAACCCCCCCAGGACCCCCAAACCCCCCCAGCCCCACUCACUGUCGCAGGCGUAGGGUUUGUCCCGGUCCUCCAGGAUCGCGGCCUCCAGCUUCUUCCGGGCACCCCCGACGCCUUUGCCCUAAAAAACCCAAAAUUUGGGCAAAAUCCGCGACGGCAGCGGGGCAGGAGCGAGGCAGCAGCGCCCCCUGGUGGGGAGGGCGCGGAAACGGCCAAAAAUCCCCCAAAAGCCGGGGAAAAAUGGGCAAAAAUCGCCCAAAAGCCGGGGGAAAUGGGCAAAAAUCGCCCAAAAGCUGGGGAAAAUGGGCAAAAAUCGCCCAAAAGCUGGGGAAAGUGGGCAAAAAUCGCCCAAAAUCUGGGGAAAGUGGGCAAAAAUCCCCCAAAGUCUGGGGAAAAUGGGCAAAAAUCGCUGGGAAUUUGGGGAAAAUGGGCAAAAAUCCCCGGGAAUUUUGGGAAAAUUAGGGGCAAAUGGGCAAAAAUCCCCCAAAAGCUGGGGAAAGUGGGCAAAAAUCCCCCAAAAUCUGGGGAAAAUGAGGGGAAAAUGGGCAAAAAUCGCCCAAAAUUUGGGGAAAAUGGGUAAAAAUCCCCGGGAAUUUGGGGAAAAUGAGGUGGAAAUCUCAGUUUUGGUGGGGUUUUGUCAUGGGAAUUGCCUGGGAUUUUUGGGAAUUCUCUGGGAUUACUGGGGGUUUUCUGGGAUUUUUGGGAAUUGUGUGGGGUUUCUGGAAUUGCCUGGGAUUUUUGGGAAUUGCCUGGGAUUUUUCGGAAUUGUCUGUCUGGGAUUUUUGGGAAUUGUGGGGGAAUUUUGGGGAUUUUUGGGAAUUCCCCACCUUGGCCUUGCCCUUCCCUCUCCGCUUGGGCGUGUCCUCCUCGUAAUCCUCAUCGUCCAGAUCGUCCAGGAAAUCCUCGGGCUCCAGGAUCCGCUGGGAGCGAGCACGGGGGUUAGAGCGGGGAAAUGGGGGAAAAUGGGGAAAAAAAUGGCAAAAAUGGGAAAAAAAAUGGCAAAAAUGGGGAAAAAAUGGGAAAAAUGGGGAAAAAAUGGGAAAAAUUGGGAAAAAAUGGAAAAAUGGGGAAAAAAUGGGGAAAAUGAAAAAUGGAAAAACAGGAGGGGAUGUAGAAGGGGCCACAGCUGGAAUUCCCAGUAUCCCCAAUUCCUGGAGCCCUCGGUAUCCCAAAUUCCCAAUUCCCAUUGGAACUCCCAGUGUCCCGAGUUCCCAGCUGGAAUUCCUGGCUGGAAUUCCCAGGAUCCUGAGUUCCCACUGGAAUUCCCAAUAUCCCGAAUUCCCAUCUGGAAUUCCCAAUAUCCCAAAUUCCCGCUGGAAUCCCCGAAUUCCCGCCGGAAUUCCUGUUAUCCCGAAUUCCCGCGGGCUCCCGGCGCCACCUUGCGGGCGCGGCUGUUGGUGACCGGGAACUCGCCCAGGCUCUCGUCGUCCCCGCGCGCGUCGGGCAGGGAGCGCUUGUCCAGGGGAUCCGUCCUGAGCAGCGCCUCCAGGCUGCUCCCGUCCUGCGCCAG
ensembl:lncRNA